rnacentral:rRNA from 1 species
UGGCAUUCGAGUGGCGGACGGGUGAGUAACGCGUGGGUAACCUGCCUUACACAGGGGGAUAACACCUGGAAACAGGUGCUAAUACCGCAUAAGCGCACAGGGCCGCAUGGCCCGGUGUGAAAAACUCUGGUGGUAUGAGAUGGACCCGCGUCUGAUUAGUUAGUUGGCGGGGUAACGGCCCACCAAGACAACGAUGGAUAGGGGUUCUGAGAGGAAGGUCCCCCACAUUGGAACUGAGACACGGUCCAAACUCCUACGGAAGGCAGCAG